AUACGAAGGGGGCUAGCGUUGCUCGGAAUGACUGGGCGUAAAGGGCGCGCAGGCGGCUUGGACAGUCAGAUGUGAAAUUCCUGGGCUUAACCUGGGGACUGCAUUUGAUACGUUUAGGCUAGAGUGUGAAAGAGGGUUGUGGAAUUCCAAGUGUAGAGGUGAAAUUCGUAGAUAUUUGGAGGAACACCGGUGGCGAAGGCGACGACCUGGUUCACAACUGACGCUGAGGCGCGAAAGCGUGGGGAGCAAACAGGAUUAGAUACCCUGGUAGUCCACGCUGUAAACGAUGUAUGCUAGAUGUUGGGUAACGCAGUUACUCAGUGUCGGCGCUAACGCAUUAAGCAUACCGCCUGGGGAGUACGGCCGCAAGGUUGAA
rnacentral:rRNA from 1 species